AGGGCUUGCAAAAUAAGCACACUUGGGCUUAGUCAUGAUCUCUGUUUCAGAGUCUGUGAAAGUUUUCUACCCUUGUGCAAGGGAAUAUGAGGGUCUUAGAAGGAAGUCUGUCACUCUAGAGGGUCCUAGAGGGUCUAGAGGGUAAGUAGAAGAUUCAAACUUCUCACUGAAUUUAAAGCUAUAUAUAGUAUCAGUUCUGCUCUUUGCUUGUGUCUAAAUGUGGAAUGUAGCAGCAAGACACCAUCUUUCCCACAGCCACCUGGCUUAAUCAGGGAACAAGGCCAAGGGAAAGUCAUCAGAGGAGAGGAGAAGUGGAUUGCAAAAGGGGCUCCAGCAGUCUUUUCACACACUAUUAAAAAAGUAAAUUCCCAAAAGGUUGAUUUUUCUACUCAUGCCUCUCCUCACAAAUUCAGAAUGAAGUUUUCCAUGUGACAGAGGAAACAGGCUGGACAGGAACCCGACUGCUCUCUGAAUAGCAGCCAUACCACGAAUGAUUACUUGCAAUCUUCAUCUGUUGACAGAAUGAUUUGAAUUGAUUUAAAUAGCUCCCAGAUGGCUGGCUUAACACUUAAAUCUAAUAUGCAUCUAAGAUUCAUUGUCAUUACUGAUUUCUCAGUCAACCUAUCAUUUCUGAGUAGUGCCACAUCUCAGGUCUGUUGUGUGCAUUAGAGCUGAAUGCCCUUGGAGACCUUCUGGCCAGUCACCCGUGACCUGACUUCUGAAAUGAAACUUGAUGUCUGCCCAUGCCAUUAUUCUCCUGGCUACCAAGGAAAAGAAAUAGAAGAUAAACAAUCAUCUCCUGAGCUAUUUUCCACAAGAAUUGCAAGAUCCAAAGUGCAUUAAUAGAAUGGCAUUGCUGGGACUCACAAGUCUGCUUGGAAACCACCCGUUAAAAGUUAACUUACUCUUGGACCAUCUGAAUCUCCAAUACAGCUUUUGCACACAUUAUAUGAAGAUGCUACUGGAACAUUCAUGUAUCGUGUUAUCCACAACGAGAAAAGCAGCUUAAGGAAGCACUGAAGCACUUUUAUUAAGGGUAAAGCUUCUUCACAACUGAACGUCUACUAUCCAUUUGACUGUGCAGCAUGGAAUCCACAGUCCAAAGCUAUACUGAGUUCUGAUACUCUUUAGAUAAACUUUUGGAAUUUAGCCUUACUUCUAAUCUAUAUCCAGCUUAAUUUCAGUAUCUAUCGACUUUACAGGUUGUAGCCAAGACAUUAAAUCUGCAGCACUCUGGAAUAACCACGUCACAUUUUUCAAUAAUAAAAUUAGGGAACUGCUAGAAAUGCUUUCA
rnacentral:lncRNA from 1 species